AUUGAACGCUGGCGGUAUGCUUAACACAUGCAAGUCGAACGGUAGAUACUUCGGUAUCGAGAGUGGCGGACGGGUGAGUAACGCGUAGGAAUCUGCCUGUUAGUGGGGGACAACUUGGGGAAACUCAAGCUAAUACCGCAUACGCCCUACGGGGGAAAGGAGGGGACCUUCGGGCCUUUCGCUAACAGAUGAGCCUGCGUUGGAUUAGCUAGUUGGUAGGGUAAAGGCCUACCAAGGCGACGAUCCAUAGCUGGUCUGAGAGGACGAUCAGCCACACUGGGACUGAGACACGGCCCAGACUCCUACGGGAGGCAGCAGUGGGGAAUAUUGGACAAUGGGCGCAAGCCUGAUCCAGCAAUACCGCGUGUGUGAAGAAGGCCUUAGGGUUGUAAAGCACUUUCAAUAGGGAGGAAAAAGAUAAACCUAAUACGUUUAUCCUUGACAUUACCUAUACAAGAAGCACCGGCUAACUCCGUGCCAGCAGCCGCAGUAAUAC
rnacentral:rRNA from 1 species